AAAGCAUUCUUGGAAGCUAGCUUUGCAGCGGGACUGUCAGGACAAGUACUGUGUAUCCAAAGGUCCUCUCCUCUGCUCUAUUGAGCCCUAGCCCUAUGAAGUGACCCCAGAAAAUGCUUUCCUUCCAAUUUCAUCAUUUACGCUGUCUGCCAAGCACCUCGUCAGCUCACAUCUGGACACUUUGCUCAAGCAGCAUGGCGUUUAGGGAUCAGUGAGUGGGCCGAGCCAGGACUCAACCCCAGCAAGUUCACAGAGGCCUCAAACGCUGACAAGCAGAAGUUUUCAUCUUUAAGACUGACAGGCUCCAAAAGGAAGAACCUGCACCUCGUCAGGGUGAAGAUGUCAGCUACCACCUUAAAGAAGCCUGUAUUUUUAGCCCCCAAGUGAGCCAUCAAACAGGACCAUGUGCAUGGCAGGAUGCAGGCUUGUCAUCUCAGGUGAUCUCCUUGGCAUUGCACCUGGGCUGGGGCAGAGAGGAGCUUGGCCCAUGACAGCAUCACACGAUACGAAAAUCCAGAAAAAUGGCCCUUAAGGCCGGCUGUGUGAUGCAGCAGGAGAACGGGUUCACACCAGGAAAGACAUGGGCAGGUGUGAGCCUUUGAGGAUGGGAAGCCGCCCUUAUCAGUGUUUGCAGUUGGGGUGAGGUGCUUGUGCAAAAUCGGGCUUCAAAACUGCCCGUCAAUCAUCACGUGUCCAUGACCUCAAGUAUGUGUCAUUUCUGUGUAUUGAGUCAUUUCAAACCCUCCCUUCUAGGUAUUUUGAAAUAUACAAUACAUUGUGAUUAAGUAUGGUAAUCCUACUCUGCUAUU
rnacentral:lncRNA from 1 species